AGGGAUUGGUAAAAGUGCCACCCUUACAAGGUGGAUGUCGCAGGUUCGAAUCCUGUACUCCCUACCA
rnacentral:tRNA from 1 species